rnacentral:lncRNA from 1 species
UGAACAUGCCACGCUCUGUCGUGCUUUUGCCAGUUGUCCUCAUAGCCGGAGUCGAAAGUUUUUAAGGUGUUGUCACAUAAUAAUUACCAUUGGAGUAGCCACACUCGGUUGAAGAUUUAUGGUGUGCCAGGUACUUAAGUGAUUAAAUACAUCCUGUCAUUGGAUCCUUACAACCAUCCUCUGGGGUGGGUUCUGCUAGUGUCUCCAGUUUAUAGCCGGGUUACUCAGCAAGCUGAAGGCCACACGGCCAGCGAGGACUUGGCAGAACCAUGGCUUGUCUGAGGCUAAUGCUUGUUUUCGAAAUCAUUAGGUGAUAUUGUGUUCUAUCCCUACUAGUUAUGUUUACUUUCUACAGUUCUUCAAAGGAUGGCCUUUUAUUUUCCAAAAAUUGCCUUUCUAGUUAAGUUAAAUGGCAGUCAUUCGCUUCAUGUUAUUUUAUGUCCCUUUGGCAUUAUUUUCUUCCUUGAAACCAUAAAAACACUGGAGCGAAAAAAGGAGAGUGGGGCUCCUUGCUUGGGUAAGCCCACCCAUCAACAGGUGUCUGCUGGAGCCACAGAAAGUGACCCAUGCCAAACUAAAAAGUGUUAGAACUUUCCAUCUCGUUUGUGAGCUGGAGUACACUGAAUCAAAGAGAAAAUGGUGCCACUGGCUGCCUGACUCCCAGGUUGAGAAUUAUCUAGCACUGGCAGAAACUUCAGAGAUCAGCUGGUCCGACGCUUUCAUUGUACAGAUGGGGAAACGGGGGCUCAGAGAGGAACGGGACUUUCUCAAAAUUUAAACAAAGAGGCCCUCGUGGAACUCAGAUACACUGACUCCAUGAUAUAUUAAUCCCGGCAUGGACUCACCAGAUACCAAUCGAAGGCUUACAAUGUGCCAGGCACUGAGCCAAGUGAAAAAAUGGCCAACAAGACAAAAUUCCAGCCUUCACAGAGCUUCCAUUCUAGUUGAAAGAGACAGACAAGAAAUAAAUCGGUAGCAAAUCACAGUUCGAAGUGUGGAGAACUUAACUGGGAAGCAUAGUAAAUCCUGGGAAGCAACUAGUAAACCGUGGUAGUUGUCCAAGCAAGAGAUAACAGAGGCUUGGGUUUAUGACGAUGACAGUAGUUUCCUACCAACUGGUUGUUUGACCACAGGCUGCUCAUGUAACUUCUAGGGUGCUCAGUCUCUCAGCCUGCAUACUGUCCCCAACACAAUCAGCCUACCUCACAGAGGUGUUAUGAGAGUCGAUCAAUAAAGCACUAUGCAGGAGUUCCCAUCAUGGCUCAGUGGAAGCGAAUCUGACGAGCAUCCAUGAGGAUGCAGGUUCAAUCUCUGGCCUCACUCAGUGGGUUAAGGAUCCGGCGUUGCCAUGAGCUGUGGUGUAGGUCGAAGACAUGGCUUGGAUCCGGCGUUGCUGUGGCUCUGGCGUAAGCCGGCAGCUACAGCUCCGAUGCGACUCUGGUGGCUCAUCAGGAUAAGGAUCCAGCAUUAUCACUGCUGUGGCGCAGGUUCAAUACCUGGCCUGGGAACUUCCACACGCUGUAGGUGUGGCCAGGAAAAAAAGGGGGGGGGCACAAUGCAAGCACGAGCCAUUAAUUAGCAUCAACAAUAAUCCAGGCUUAGUGAUUUUCAAUGCGAAUUAAAUUAUAUCCAGCACUUUCCAUCAUCCUGUGAUGACAAGGCAGAGCUGUGCCUUUUUUUCUGGUUAGGUGUUAAAUUUAUAAGAAACUCUGGAAACUGUUCUCUUCAUAAAGACUCAGACUGUUUUAGAUAAGGCUAAAGUCUGCCUUGACUUCUGCCCCAUAUCCCAGACCCUUCUGUCUGUCCUCAGAGGAAUGUUGCAAGAGCUUAAAAUUUGAACUUCAGAAACAGAGAAUGAUGGUGCCGACGGCCAUUUGUAGCUGCAUGCUUCUAGAGCGUGAUACUGGGGUCACCUGGCAACACCUAAGUGAAGGCCUGUCUCUGCUGGGGGCACCACCUUUGCAAUGGACACCUGUGUUGACAGUUCUUUAGAUCCCAUUGUGGUCGAAGGUCAGCUGAAUCUCUGCCGGGCUGAAUUUCAGCCCUCAACAUGUACUUUGAAAGAAAAAGUGAUUUCUUUUUCUGUAUGUGUCAUUCAUCCCUAAAAAGAUGGCUGUUGUUGUUUUCAAGUACAGAUACUCUGUGUCUUGCACGUGAUCGCCGAGCGAGCAUGCCCCUGAAAGCAGCACCAGGUCACCUUCAGACUUACAGUGCCAGCAGUCCAGCAACCCUACUUGGGCCCCCCUCUCUGUCACUACUCACUUCUCCCCCAAGGAAGCCACUGUCCUGACUUCUGCCAGCACAGAUCAGUAUUGGCCAGUUUUGAACUUGAUAUAAAUGAAAUAAUACAAGAUCACCCUUUGUGCCUGGUUUCUUUUGCUCAACAUUUGGCUUGGGAGGUUCAUCUGCAUGUUCUUUGCAGAUGGCAGUAAUUCAUCCACUCUCGAUGUCUUGUAUAGUGUCCCACCGUGCAAGUACACCACACUAUUUAUCUGUUCCACUAGUGAUGGACAUUUGGGUUCUUUCUAAUUUGGGGCCACCUGGCAUAUAUAUAUUUACAUCAGAACAAGGUUUUUUCAGCCCUAAACUUAUACUGACAUGAGAACGGCACACCCGCAAAACAAAGCUGAUCCUUCCAUCCUGUCCAACUGAACGUCUUCCGUUCACACCCCUGUUCCCUCCCUCAGCAUAAAACCCAAAUUCCUUAGCACGUCAUUCAAGGCCUUGCCUGCUGGAUCGUAACCUAAACCUUGAACCUCACUGCCUGUCACCGAACGUCAGCAACUCACUUCUCCUCGCUCCUCAGACACACCAGGCCCUUUCAUGACUCUGCACCCGGGCACAUGCUUUUCCUGUGAUCUGGAUGUUUUCUUCGAUACCUGGAAAGCUUCAGCUGUUUCAUCCAGAUCCUGCUCCAAUGUUCCCUCUUUUGUGAAGCCUUCGCUAACACCCGUAGGUCGGACCCAGUGGCACUUUUCUCCGGGUUCUCCCUACAACUGGUUCACCUUGUUGAUGUGGUUCUCAUUUAACAAACACAUAGUAUCUAGUGCAUGCCAGCCGCUGCUGUAAGCACUGAAAAUACUAAGUCACUGAAUCCUCAGAACAGGUACCAUCAUCAUAGCAGUCUUGCCCUGUGAGGAAACUCAGGCAGAGAGCAGUAAACAUGACUUUGCCCCUUAUGGGAGGUGGCACAGCCUAGAUUCAGCCCCAGACGGUCCAGCGCCAGAGCACACCCUCCCUGCCUCAGUCACACUGCAGCACUCGCUGAGGUGGCACUGCCCAGCCUGUGCUGGGACAGAUCAGAUGGAGGACACACCUGACUCCCCCCCACUAGCCCGUGUCCGUCCUGUUCAAGUUCCUGUCUCUUUCCUCCUCGGGUUCUGAAAGCCGCAGACAGUGCUCAAUAGAAAAAACGAUAGGGCUGGUUUCACCGAGAGGCGUGA